rnacentral:rRNA from 1 species
CGCGAAUUCGCCCUUCGGGGUGCACCAGGCGCGAAAACUUUACAAUGCGGGAAACCGUGAUAAGGGGACACCGAGUGCCAGCAUCAUAUGCUGGCUGUCCAGGUGUGUAAACUACACCUGUUAGCAAGGGCCGGGCAAGACCGGUGCCAGCCGCCGCGGUAACACCGGCGGCCCGAGUGGUGAUCGUGAUUAUUGGGUCUAAAGGGUCCGUAGCCGGUUUGGUCAGUCCUCCGGGAAAUCUGACGGCUCAACCGUUAGGCUUUCGGGGGAUACUGCCAGGCUUGGAACCGGGAGAGGUAAGAGGUACUACAGGGGUAGGAGUGAAAUCUUGUAAUCCCUGUGGGACCACCUGUGGCGAAGGCGUCUUACCAGAACGGGUUCGACGGUGAGGGACGAAAGCUGGGGGCACGAACCGGAUUAGAUACCCGGGUAGUCCCAGCCGUAAACGAUGCUCGCUAGGUGUCAGGCAUGGCGCGACCGUGUCUGGUGCCGCAGGGAAGCCGUGAAGCGAGCCACCUGGGAAGUACGGCCGCAAGGCUGAAACUUAAAGGAAUUGGCGGGGGAGCAC